UAAGCCCUGUGUAGACAGAAAUUGGCCAUACUCAUCAGCUUGAGACACACAUACCUUGCUUGUUAUUGCCAGCACCCACCUUUUGGCACAUUGUGGAUGCUCCUGAUUCCUGCUGGACUGAGGCUAAGCUUAAUCCCUGAGAGUCAUACUUUCCUGCACUAUCCAUUGUUCAAGAAAGCAAGGGUCUGUGCACACAUCCACUGGUACUGUGUCCUUAUCUCAACCCUUAAGUCCCUUGCCAUAUGUACCCUCUUCAAGGUCUCCAGGGAUGUCCAGCAUAGCCCAAUACCUUCCCCCUUUUUUUUACAUCUAUUUUAUUCAUGUAUCUGUGUGAGUGUGUGGUGCAAACACAUGAGGGUGCCUGCAGAGACUAGAUGAGGGAGGGCAUCUCAGUGCUCUGGGGCUGGAGUUAAUGGUGGCUUGUUGGGCUUGGGUGCUGGAGAUCAAACCUGGGUACUUUGUAAGUGCUCUUCAACCACUGAGCUAUCUCCAGCUGCCCGAUGCCUUGUCUUAUCCUUCCUCCUUGAUGACAUAUUUCAGCACCAACUCAGAGGACACUGCACUCACUCCAUCUCUCUUCCUCACUCUUUUUUUUUUUUAAAGAUUUAUUCAUUUAUUAUAUAUAAGUACACUGUAGCUGUCUUCAGAUACACCAGAAGAGGGCACCGGAUCUCUUUACAGAUGGUUGUGAGCCACCAUGUGGUUGCUGGGAAUUGAACUCAUGACCUCUGGAAGAGCAGUCGGGUGCUCUUAACCGCUGAGCCAUCUCUCCAGCCCUCUCUUCCUCACUCUUGAGACUUGUUCCUACCCAUUUCCUUGUCCCAGUCUUGUCUUUUUCCAAAUCCUGUCACAGCACAUGUGGCUUUUUAAAGCCCACAUGCUAUUUCUAUUUCUAGACUGACCACAUCGCCAACCAUGCUGAGCUCAGAUUGCUUCUAUUCCAGAGGCCAUGCCACCAAGACUGCUCAGCUGCCUGCUGGUAGAGUCUGUCAUUCCAUCCAGGGUGUUCCAGUCCAGUUGUUGAGACAGGCGUCCAGGAGAAUACCAAGGACUCUAGCAGGCUGCCUGAACCGAUCCUCACUGAUGAUCUAGACAGAAGGAGUUCAGACCGAAGUCACCACCCAACCAGGUCACUGAAGUUCACAGGAGGAAGCCCUGAAGUCUGGUUUUUCAAGUCCCCUCCUCACACAGCUGGGGCGACAGUUUACACUGAGGUGCCCAAGACUCCACCACACCACUCCAUUAGACCUGGCCUAUGGCCUACAGACUUAUCCCUCCACCAAGAGCCCUGGAGGACAAGGUCAGUAAUCACUGUUGGGUCUCAUGCUCUUAACAAGGGAGUCUCACGUUCCUCCACCCAUGAAAAUCUCCCCAGCUUUAUCUAGUAAGUCACCCUUUUUCUUUCCUGGGGUUUCUGGAAGGCUCAGAGACACCUCCACCCAUUUGGAUGCCCUAGGGCAGCAGAACUUCAAGUACUGCAUGUUCAUCCCUCCGGGUGGUAGCCUACUCCUGACAUGAUGAAGCCUUCCCUGUUGGCCUGAACACACUGGGUACUCAGCAAGGGUUGAAUUAAGGGAUACAUGAAACAAUGGCUUAUUUUCCUGCCUGCCUUCUUCCUUUGCUAGGCUCUUCCUGCUCUCAAAGCCCUUGACAGAUAUUGGGCCAUCUCUGCCUUGGGGCCACAGUGGCUCAAGUUCAAAGAGCGGGCAAAAAAUGCUAGCUCCCACGUGUCAGCCCAGUGACCUUAGGCAGGACUCUUAAGGUGUGAGGUCUCAGUCAUUUCAUUGUAAUUGGAGCCAAGAGCCAUGGGAAAUAGCCAGGCUCCUGCCAUCAGAGCCUCUGGCAGAUGGUGAAAGGGGACAGGAGGGACAUGUAGGGGCCCCAGGAGCACCUCAUCAAAGUCUGCGAUGAUCUCAUUGAGCAGCCGUAGGCAUUCAACGCCCUCAUUGUUGGCCUCUAGCUCCACGUAGAAUUCGGAGAAGUUGGCGAUGGAGGCAAACAUGACAGCCACGCACUCGCAGGAUUGGUAGUACAGUUCAUCAUUGCGCCGCUCCCGGGCCAGGAAGUGGGCAGCCACGUCCUUGGGCAGAAUGUUGUGCAGCAAGCGCCGGUUGUAGGCCUGCAGCUCCUCCAUCUCCUCCUUCUCUUCUGUGGCCUGGCGACAGGAGACCCAGUGAGAGGAGACCGAAAUGCCCAGGCACUCGGGUGCCAGCAGUGCCCCCUCACAGCUGUCUGCCUCCACACAUUCUCCAGACAAUCCCACUGCCUCUGGCAAACAACACACAUGGAGGAAGGAAGUAAAGAGGCAACGCAGGUCUCCCCUAGACAAACUGGCAGCUGAGAAGAGCAGCGAUCCAAAUCCACACCCCAAACAGCCUCUACCACACCCUAACCCUGCAUUUCCUCAAGAUUAGGAAAUGCAAUCAGAAAAGCAGCUUUUCUAGAACAAGUCUACUGGAUGGAGCCCUUGGGAGCUUGGCCCAGGUCCUGCCAUGUCUGCUUCCCAUCAGGGGGACUUGUUUGGGGGCUAGCCAAAGCUAGCAGGAAUGACAUCAGCCAAGGUGGGGAGGGCAUGUCACCUCACUGAGUUGAGUUCCCAGUUUGGGUUGUGGGUCUGCAGAUGGAGUUUGUGGCCACUUAACUUCCAGAACUGAGUUCUUGCAUGAAGAUAAUGGUGACCCACAUGAGGCUGAAGCGGAGAGGCAGCUCUGCACAGUGGUGUGGUAAGGAGCCACUUGACCAGAGUGGCAUAAUAAGAUUACAGAAUGGAGUCAGCUGGAUCCUCCACUCUUGAUGGCAAAGUUGUCCCCUUCUUGGGAAUGGCUAUGUGGGCUGGCAGGCAGAGAAAAUAUCGCUAGCAGGGAUUGUUUAUAAGACCCAGCCAGUGUCUAGCAAGAGCUAGCAGGCCUUCCCAAUGCUGCAGGAUCUGAUCCCAGAUGGAAUGGACAGUCCCAAGGCAAAAGACCCGGGAACGCUAGGUAAGAGAUCUCCUCUCCACAGCUGGGUAACUCUUAGAACCACCGGGGUUGUGGUUGGGAGACUGCAGGUUACACCAAGACCUGGGGACCUCUGCACACCUCCAACCCUAAGCAGCCAGGUAAGUCCAGUGGUGUGCACCAGGUUCCUGCCUAGCCUUCAGCCUGAUGACUGAGAUGGGAACUUUGACCAUGUCUGUCCCUGGGAAUAGAGCCAUCUACACUUGCCUCUGAGCCUGUUCUCAGCUCAUGCCCCACUUGCAGGGCUGCAGACUGGUGCAAAGGCACCGGGAAAGGUGGGGAGUGACAAUUCUUUGCAAGGCCUGCUUACACGUUUCUAUCUUUAUUUAUUUGCUGGCUCUUGUCCUGCCAGCUCCCUCAAGGCCCAGAAGAACAGGGGACAGAAAGACUUGUCAGUGUCAUAAGCUGGUCAGCUUCAGGGAAAGAAGCAGACAUAGGCUGGGGACAGGGACAAGCCAUCUACUCACACAAGCAGGGGACCCUGGAAUCAAUGCUCAGGCCAUAGCCCUCAGAAAGCCGAGGAAACAAAGUGACCACUCUGUGGAGGGCAGAGAGAAGCUGCUGACAGGGGACUGAGGGACUGAGGGGAAGGACAGAAAGGGGAUCUUGAGGAGAGGGGGGCUAUUACUCCAAGCUCAUCAGUCACUAGGAAAGAUAAGGGGAGGUGGGUUUUUUUGCUGCUAGGGUACUACUGCCAAGCACAGUCAGGAAGUGUGAAAGGAGCCAGAGGCAUUAGAUUAAAGAGAAGGUUCUGGAAGGGGCUCAUUUAAAAACUGUAACAACUGAAGUGGUGUAGACACAUCAAUAUGUGUGCAUGUAAUGUGUCUGUGUCCAUAUCCACUGAUACGCAUCUCCUAGCUGCAUCUGCAGACACCUGGAUGAGCCCCGGAGUGCUCAGAUCUCAGUUUCUAAACACGAUUCUCUACUUACGGAGAGCCAGGAAAGGUGCCUGUAACCUAGGUGCCAUUUUGCUGUGCUCGGAGUGCUCAAAGAAUGGUGGAGGUGUACUCAGUGACGGCUGGGAGCUUGACGAAAUGUGUGCGCGCCAAACCCACGGCGAUGUGAGUGCGGAAAUAAAUAGCAAGGGCAGGUCAUCACCCACGGCUUCAGCACUGAAUGGGUGAUGAUGUGGAAGAGCAAGCAAAGAAGCAGACUAAAGGCCAGGGACGACUCCUUACAGGACAACACAGCCACCUGAGAAGGCCAGACAGACAGGGACCACCACAGCUGACAGCCCUCUUUGGCAGGUGGGGACUGUUUGAGAACACAUCCUGUCGUGUAGCCCUGGCUGGUUUGGUACUUGCUAUAUAGACUAGGCUGGCCUCAAACCUGCAGCAUCCCUUCUGUUUCUGCCUCCCAAGAACUGGAACUGCAGGCAUGUGCCACCAUGCCAAGCUACUGACAGGCGUCUUCAUGUGAAAGACACAGGAAAUAACCAGUGGGUGCAGAGGCUGGAAGUGAGGCUUUAAUAAGGACCAGAAAACUGCUGUGGCAUCUUAUUGAUAGGCAUAUGUAGGGGAGAAGCUUGGCCAAGGACAAUUCCUGCAAGUGAUCAGAGUCAACACCAUGGCAGGACGAGGGUGGGAGGGAGGCAGAAUUGCUCGGGUGACAUGCCCAGCGUCUCUCUCAGGUCUCUUCCAGAAAAGCAUGACCCACAUCAGCACAUGGACGAACAAGAUCUUUACAGCUAGCUAGGAUGCUGAGAAAAGCCAGGGUGCCACGGUGAGUUCUGGUAGGGAGAGUGCAGGGAGCUCUGCAGGGCGGUGUGUGAAAGACAGACACUGGAGUAUCCAAAGCCGAUGCCUGCCAGAAAGCAUAUGUGGGUGGGAUGGAGCAUGAAUCCAAAGUAGAGGGAGGGGCCCGCUGGAUCUCGUCGUGUAGUUCUUGCAGAUCUGUAGGCUAAAGAUUGCCUUUUAAAACUUGCCCAGGACUGGAGAGAGAACUCGGUCCUAAACUGCUUACCUUGUAACCACAAUGACUUGAGUUUGUUCCCCAGAGCCCAUGUUUUUAUUGUUGUUUGGUUGAUUAGUUGUUUUUAAAGCCAAGAUGGUGGGAUUAGCUUUUAAUCCUAGUACCUGAGAGGUGAAGGUAAGUGGAUCUCUGAGACUCACUGGUCCUCAUGCGUUCACAGACACCCGUGUACAAACUCUCAUAACACACACACACAUACAUGCACCUAACGAGCCAAAAAAUCAAAAACCCUAAAGACAUGAAGUGACACUGUGAGUGUGGCAAGGAGGAUCUCAAAGGGAAAAAAACUCUGCUGUUCCUGUGGUCAGGUGGGACAGAGUGGAAGGGCCCUGUGGUGACAAAGGAGCUUGAAAUGGUUUGAGUUUAUGCAGGCCAAAGGAACAGAAGCCCUGUCCCUGUCUCCAGCAGAAGUCCUUCCAGUCUGGGAGGGUCAGACCUGAUAGAGCUGGGAAGCCUCAUCUCUCAUAGGACCAUGGCUUUGACCCUGGCUGGAGUUGAGAGCACCCAGCAGAGGCUAGCAGCAGGCUAACUCUUCUUGAAGCCUUCGAGACACAGCCAGGGUACACAGUGGCAACCAUCUUAGGAGAAGCACCCUGGAGACCCAUAGAGGAAGAUAGAAAUGGAAGAACAUGGGCUCUAGGUCCCACAGAGUCUGGUCUAGCCUGGAGACUUCCUCAGAGAAGGAGGGCCACAAGUGGUACCUCAGCUCACUGACAGCUAGGACUUUUGGAGGGACAUUCCCCAGGGAAAGCAGAGAGCCAUACUCCUGAGUCUCCUAACCUCAGGGCACCUCCACCAAGGACCUCAGACCUGACAGCCAGAUCCCAUAGAGUACACCUUCAGAAGAAACACGAUGGUCACCUGCAUGCAGCCCCCAACCAGCAAUCUGACAAGGAGGGAGUGGCUGGAACCAAAGGUCUAGGCAGCCAACCUGGAAGUCCACUUUCUUCAGUAGGUUUUCUUGAGCGCCUCCUCCUGGCACUGGGCAGUAGUGAGAUGAGAUAAGUGCUGUGAGGUUUGCUAUUUUCUCCUGCAGCACAGCUCUGGUUCAGGGCCACUCACCUGCAGUUUCCAGAGGAAGUCAAGGCGAGCAGUGGAUUCCACCUGCUGAGCAUGCAGAUACAGAGCCAGCACGAAGACAGAGAUGAUGAUGGGCGUCACCACCUUCAGCGCCACCUUGGUCGCAUGCUCAGGGCUGUCAGUGAAGAGGCAAGCAGGCUUGAGCUCACCCUGGUACUCAGUGGACUCCAAAGCCUCCAGGCUUUCUUCCCCCAACUACAGCUCCUCUCUCCCACCUCCCCCCCCCCCUGCACAAGCUACUCGAGGCAUUUUCUGCAGGAAGCCUUUCAGCACUGGGGGCAGUGGUUUUCAUUCCUGGUGCCUUACAUUCUUGCCACUGGGUGAGCCCAUCUGGUCAGCUUUCCUAUAGCCACAGUAGUUCAGGGUCAAGGUAACCAAGCCAACCUAAUGACCCUGUCUCUGGGUACUGCUGAGAUGGGUGAUGCCCCCAUUUCCAGACACUGGGACAGAGAAAGUUGCUAUACAGUGUGCUCCAUGAGGCACCUGGCAUAGUGGAGGCUCUCACUGCACAGCUAUUCCUGUUAAUUGGAUGCAUGCUCAUAGAAAACACUCCUUCCACACCUGCUUCUUACACAGCACAAAGCCCAAGCACUGAAUGCUGGGACUGACUCCUGACCCACACUCUUGCAGGGCUAGCCUCAGAGCCUGUGAUUGAAGGGAAGCAGACUCCAACCCUGUCUCUGUGCCCAGAGGAGUGAGCUCAGAGCUUAGAAAGAAUGGAGGCUGAAUGCUUUAAAGCAAUCAUGGGAUUAAUCUUAGUCCCAAUGACACUGCCACGGAGCCUUCAGAUCACCCUCAAGUAUGGAAGUCAGACAGUCCAGGGACUAACUACUGCCCCUGCUGCCCCUGGAGAGAAGGCAUCUUCACCUGUUCCUGUCACCCUCACCACUCACCUUGUCACAAGGCCCCUCCUACCUGGGAAGAGUAGCUACCUAUGUAUUUUAUUUGCCAAGGGGAAGAUGGGGCCCCAUCACAGAAGGGUCCACUCACCACUGGGAGGUCCCGUUGUUGCUGAAGUCUCUGUGAAGAAAAGUUGGGGUAGCUGCUCAGCCUGCAGGUACCCCUGCCUCCCAGCCUUUGCUGUAUCCCUAAAGCUCUGUUCUACUGCCUAGCUACUGCUGUGCCCAGCCGUCCUCAUCCCAGGGCACUGUGAGCAGUAAGGCCUGCAGAAAUGCACCCUAGCCAGCAUCUGGUCACGCUGACCCAGGCUACUCAGUCCUUAGCCCCUGUCUGCUCCCCUCAUAGCCACCUGUCCAUCUCUGCCCUGUGCUACAAUCCUGGGGGAGUGGAGGGGAACCCUGCAUCUGCACCAUCCCAGAUGACAACUGCUGGCCACAUGUGGCCUUGAAAUGAGGGGAGAGCAAGUUACAAGAGACUGCAUGUAAAUGUACUACAGAUGUAUUGGGGGAAAAGGUAAAAUAGUUUCACAGUGAUUAACAAUUGAUUUAUGUUCAAUAGACCAUAUUUUGGACGUAGUGGCUAUACACAAUUGUUACUAAAAUUAAUUGCACCUUUGGUCUGAGGUGUUGCUCUGUGGUACAGCACUUGUCUAAUACAAACAGGUUUCAAUCUCCAACACCGUAAUAAAAAGCUAUCAUACUUUUUUGCCUCA